rnacentral:rRNA from 1 species
GGUACGCACUACUGUCGGCCGGCUUUCGUGCCGGUUUUCCCGUCGUGGCCUUCGCCGGUCGCGGCGGGUGGCUGGCGAGUUUACUUUGAGAAAAUCAGAGUGCUCAACACAGGCGUCUAGCUUGAAUGAUUGUGCAUGGAAUAAUGGAAAAGGAUCACGGUCCUCUUUUAUUGGUUUUGUGGACUGAGAUAAUGGUUAACAGGGACAAACGGGGGCAUUCGUAUCGCUGCGUGAGAGGUGAAAUUCUUGGACCGUAGCGAGACGCCCGACUGCGAAAGCAUUUGCCAAGAAUGUCUUCAUUAAUCAAGAACGAAAGUCAGAGGUUCGAAGGCGAUCAGAUACCGCCCUAGUUCUGACCGUAAACGAUGCCAACUAGCGAUUCGCCGGUAGAUUUCACGCCCUGGUGAGUAGCUUCCCGGAAACGAAAGUCUUCCGGUUCCGGGGGAAGUAUGGUUGCAAAGCUGAAACUUAAAGGAAUUGACGGAAGGGCACCACCAGGAGUGGAGCCUGCGGCUUAAUUUGACUCAACACGGGGAAACUCACCCGGCCCGGACACCGUGAGGAUUGACAGAUUGAGAGCUCUUUCAUGAUUCGGUGGUUGGUGGUGCAUGGCCGUUCUUAGUUCGUGGAUCGAUUUGUCUGGUUUAUUCCGAUAACGAGCGAGACUCUAGCCUACUAAAUAGCCGCGAUAUUACUUUAACUGUGUCGCGCGCUUCUUAGAGGGAUUCGCGG